rnacentral:rRNA from 1 species
UACGAAGGGUGCAAGCGUUAAUCGGAAUUACUGGGCGUAAAGCGUGCGUAGGCGGUUUGUUAAGUCUGUUGUGAAAUCCCCGGGCUCAACCUGGGAAUGGCAAUGGAUACUGGCAGGCUAGAGUGUGUCAGAGGAUGGUGGAAUUCCCGGUGUAGCGCGAAAUGCGUAGAGAUCGGGAGGAACAUCAGUGGCGAAGGCGGCCUGCUGGGCUGUUGCUGACGCUGAGGCGCGACAGCGUGGGGAGCAAACAGG